GGUUUUCAUGUUUAACGCUCUCUCGGAAGACGAAAAGAAGGCGUUGAUUGAGAAGCUUGAGCAACAAAAUUAGAGUUAGAAUAAUUAACAGGGGAUCAGAGACAAGAAGAAAAUAAAAUACUGUAAAUAUUUUUGCCGUUUCACAGAUAGAGGAUCCUUGCGAGCCUGCUUCUGUGAGAAAAAACAAUGUUUGUUUUAUUUUUUUUUUGGGCUCCCCCUCUCUUUCAGUCUAUUGGCCAGACAAACAUUGACCUGUAUUACAAUUACAAUUUUAUGUAGAGUUUUACAUGAGAGAGUUUGUAGAAAGAAUUUAUUAGGAUGUUUUGGCAUUUAAAAAGAAGCAAUAUGAAUGCUUAUUCAGUGUAAGCAAGGAAGGAAUGGAUUCAAAUGUAAACUGAACC
rnacentral:lncRNA from 1 species